AUCCAGCUGACGAGACUCAAAUAGGACGAAACGCGCAUCUUGGAU
rfam:Schistosoma rodhaini strain Burundi genome assembly, scaffold: SROB_scaffold0002659